ACAAAAGGGAAAAAGGCGUGGCGGGCGCAAGCUCGUUUACGUUCUGCUCCCGAAAUCCUGUAUUCACCCCCAAGUUCCUUUAAAAUUUCAAUAAAAAAACUCUGCAAAAAGACCACGUUUUUAAAGUGGCAUCUAAUUGCACAAAGCGA
rnacentral:misc_RNA from 1 species